CUUUACUCAGUGGAACUGGAAGCUUCCAGUCUGUCUGGCCUGCAGUGCAGAUGCGUAUCCACCUGCCACUGACUACAAAUGGUUCAUACAGGGGGACAACACAAAAGUAGUGUCACAACAGCAGAACUUCACUGUUUGGCCUCAGAACCCAGGAAUGUAUUACUGUACAGCAGUCAACGCUAUCGGAAAAUCACGAUCCGAGCACAUCGUGUUAUUUAUCAGCAGCAACAUUCUCAUGCUCUAUCACAUCAUCUUUCUCCUGCUGAUUCUCACUGGUGCGGCCAUCUUCCUGAUACGCAGGUUCAUCAUCAAGGCAAGAUUUGAUCAACAAAGUGAAUCAGAUCCUUUCUACCUUUUCCAGUUAAUCCCAUCUGAAACUACUUCUACUGUAUGUUACUAUGGAACUGUCAGCACAAAUAGCGGCAAACAAUGUACUGAUGCAGAAGUCCAAACCAUAGCAUCUGAAAAUAAAACGUC
rnacentral:lncRNA from 1 species